rfam:Aedes albopictus isolate Foshan contig109515, whole genome shotgun sequence.
GCCUUGGUAGCUUAGUUGGAAAAGCACUUGUUUAGCGAAAAAGGGUUGUGAGUUCAAAUCUCACCUGAUCUA